AAAUUUGUUUUGCAAAAUAAACCUUCAUGUCAAAUAAAUACAGAUCAAACUACAAUCUAAAAAUCUCAUGAAAUAUACCCCUUUUGUGUAUCGAUGACAUGACAGUCGAUACCCAUUCAGAGCAUGUGCAAUAGGUAUAGAUUUUAUGAGUCGUUUAUUUAAGAUUUUCUGCUAUCACAAUUCCAUUAAUAAU
rnacentral:sRNA from 1 species